AAUAGCUUAUCAUAGGGUUGGAAAAUACGAACUAUAGUUUAAACACCAAAGAAUUUGGCGGUGUCUUAUUCAAUUAGGGGAACCUGUCCUAUAAAUCGAUAAUCCACGUAGGCCUUACCUAAUUUUGAAACUCAGUUAGUGUACUGCCGUCUAAAGUAUACCUUUAUGAGAGUAUACAAUAAAUUACACCAUUAAUUAUACGUCAGGUCAAAGUGCAGCUUAUAAUUAGGCAGAGAUGGGUUACAAUCUUUAUAAAGAUACGGACCAAAUAAUCAAACUUUAUUUGUGAAGGUGGACUUAACAGUAAUUAUUUAUAGUAUAAUGAAAAUAAAAUUAAG
rnacentral:rRNA from 1 species